UUGAAAAGGGAGGGUGCUGCCGGUAAGGCGAAGGUGGGAGGAGAAGCCGCAGAUACCCCGCUGAGCCCCCCGAGGGAACCCUCCCCCCCCCGGAAAGAGAUGGUAUGGUACGGUCCGGGCCGCGUCCCGUUGCUAGGCGCCGCGGUCACGUGCCCCGCCUGCCCCCUCUCCCCGCUGCCCGGGCCGGGGCCACCAUGGCUGACGUCAUCGGGCCCAUCCUGGUGCAGGUUCAAGAAGACCUUCGCCAGCUUAAGAGGAAACUUGCAGUUAUCAACCUUGAAGGAAAUCAAAAUGCCCUGGAUGUUCAUAAUCUUGAAACAGCCAUUGAAAGAACAGAAAUUGGGUUAAAAAAACAUGCUGAGAAUUAUUUCAAUGCCAUAAACAGACAAGUGUUAACUGUUCCUUUUACUGAUCAGAAGGAAGCGUGUUCAAAACAGCUCUAUAAAUGGGAGCUUCCUAAGGAUGCUGCUCAGAAACAGUUAAUUUUACCACUGGUACCUGUUAAACCUCUGACUGCUCAGCCCUGGAGCAAGACAGCAUGUGCUUCUCCAAGAUCACAGCACAAGCUUGCCAGGCACGUGAAAAUCGGGUAUGAUUCAGAACACGCCAGUAACAAAGUUCUUUUAAAUCAAAAGUAUGGAAUCAGCUUACCACUUAUAAAUCAAAGAAAAUCAGCUCCAGUGUGCGCUCAGAAGAUAGUGAAGGGGCCUACAGUCAGUAACCUUUGGGUUUUGCCUGCGUCUCACCAAAUGGAUGCUCCCUUACCCGUGGGUGAGAGAGAUGCAAAGAGAGGUAUUCUGAACCUAAUCGAGCGCAGGCUAAUCCCACCAGCAGCAAAGAUUACACUUGAGUCGCCUCCAGUUUUACCCAAAGUCGCUCCUCUCCAUGAAUUUCACAAACGUCACAAGAAGCCUGUUUCAGGGAAGAUGAGUAGGAAGGCAGAUGCUGUCAGAGACAUCUUCACUUAUCCAGACCCAAAGACAACUGUCAAUGGCACGUGCUUCUCCAACAAGGGUAACAUUGCGCCACCCCCGUCUAACAUCUCCGUGGACUCAGCUAGGAGAUCAAAGCGAGUGUGGACACAGCCGACUCCAGGGCAAGAGGUGGCACUUUGCAUCUCACCUCAGCCAAAGACCUCACAAAUGAUGCCAUUUGAGUCCUUCCAGAAUUCAGUUUUGGAUUACGACAUAGCUAUUCACAAUGGUGCUAUAGACCAUGAGGCUCCAGCCUUCCUGGCAUUUAAGCAGUACUACUGUUUGUCCUGGGGAAGUAUUCUCUCUCUCUUGGAACAUGUUGAGAAGGUGCUCAAGGACUACGCCAUACCAUUAGCUAUAAUAAAAAGCAGAAAUUUGGUGGAGCUUGUAUCAGAUUUUGAACUUGACUGGAGGCCAAGCAGAGAUGACAUUCUGUCCAUGAUAAAGAACCGAUCCACUGUGAAAAGACUCUUAAAUCAACCUGGCCGGCGAUACAAAGGGCAAGAUGGUACUGAAAUGGCUGCCACAAAGAUCCAGGCAAUGUGGAGGCGCUAUCAGGCCAGAAAAGCCUACAUCCAUUUCAGGCAGCAGCAGCGGGCAUCAGGUGUGAUUGCCAUUUCUUGGCUCUUGCAUUCUCGCAUGGCACGUGUAAAAAAGACCCUGAAGGAAUCACGUCGGAGACACCUGGAGAAUUUUUACAUCAGGGCCAAGCAUCUGGCAGCCAACUGGAAUCGCAUCAGGACCUCCAGGAGGACUAUUAUCCAUAUCCCAUCAUUAGGUUAUUCCCAAAGCAUUCGUGAGAAUAUGUCUGACUUUGCUCUCCAGCAGAAUUUGCAGAUGGGAAGGCUGUGUGACAUCCAAGAUGCCAACGUGGACGUCAUCUACAUCUGCCCCCUUCAUCUGAGUGAGGAGUUACUGCAGUAUUACAAUAAACUCCUGGGUCUGCAGGCAGCUGUUAGAUCUGGGAACCCUGAGGACAUGGGUGACCUGCAGGACAGGUUCAAAAUUCUCACCCCUGAAGCUAUAAACAGCUUCCCUAACCAUCCCAUGUGCUUGGCCACUCAGCUGAAGUACAGUCCCAAGACGAUCAAAAGAAUAAAAAAUCUUAUCCAGGGCAAGGAAGCCUACGUGAUUGGAGGGGUUCCCCACAAAGAUGAUUUAGCGGUGGCUGACAUGUUAAAUGUGCCCAUACUGGGCUCUGUGCCAGAAGUGGCUCAUCUCUAUAGCACCAAGUCCGGAAGUAAAAGAAUUUUUGCCAGUGCUUGUGUGCCAGUUCCCCCCGGAGAAUAUGACAUCUAUACCCCUCAGCAGAUGCUUGAUGUUCUGAGUCAGCUGGUCAUCGAUAACAUGGAAGUACGACGCUGGCUGUUUAAAGUGGACAGUGAACUUGGCGGAAAUGGUACCGCCUAUUGUGAUGUUACCUCCCACCUGAAAUGCUACCCCUGGGUCCAGAAGGAGCGUCGUAGAUGCACUGCUGAGGUGUGGGCCAAGAAAUGGGCGCACGAGCCAGCUUUGGUGAAGAUCUCCCAGGAGCUGCCGGGCCUUUUAGCACAGCACGCACAGCCAGUCAAUGAGAAACGAUUCCCUACAUGGGAAAAAUUCCUCCAAACAUUUCUUAGUCAAGGCGGCGUGAUAGAAGCCUUUCCACCCUCCGAAAAUGUCACCAACCUUACUGUGGAUAUGCUAAUAGAGCCAAUGGGAGAGAUACGAAUGGUUUCAUCUGGAGACCAGAUCCACGCUGACGGUCCCUUGCAGUCAUCUGGCACCACUGUCCCACAGUGCUCCGUUGAUCCAGCGGUUCUUAAUUCGCUGUGCUUAAAAAUUGGAGAGGCUUGCCAAUCUAGGGAGGUGCUUGGGUACUUCUCGAUUGACUUUGUAACUUUCAUCCAUCCACAAACAAUGGAGCAACAGGUAUGGGCAACAGACCUUGACCUCUACUACAGUGACCAGCUGGCCCUCACUCAGCUCAUGUUGUAUGUGACAGAUGGAAAUCUGGAUUGUAGCUCUGGUCGCCUUGAAGUACCACUUCCCUGUAUGAAAAUGAAGAGCCAAAGUGUUCAAACUGGGGAGGCCAAAAUCUCGUCUCCACUAAGAAGCCGCUAUGCUGUCCUGAGCAGUCAGAUGAGGCACUCCAGCCUGUCUGUAAUCUACUACAGUGUUCUCCUCCAGAUGUGUAAGGCUCAUGGCAUUGGAUUUGAUGUCCAGGAAAAACAAGGAACCAUUUUUAUGCUCUAUGAAGACCGCAGGCGAUACAGAUUGGGAAUGAUAACAAUCGGAGAGGAUCUCCAGGGGGUCCUCAUGACCUUUGCUCGCAAUCUCUUCAUCAUCCAUCAAGAAAUAUCAGCACCUAAUAUGCAAGGCGAGACCAAUUUUAAGAUGGCAAUUCGAGACAUUGAAGCAAUCCUGGGAACUACAGCAGAGAACAAACUAAAAUGUGAAGAAGAGCAGUCCUCCAAAGCAGAUGCUCCCCAAGAAUAGUUCACUGAAAUGUUUAAAGUAUCUUAUUAUUUAAACCUCUCACAAAGUGGGGAAGGUGCGGGAGCUCCAAUUUUAAGGAAUGCAGGGAAAACAUGAUAACCUAAGUAUUUUGUUGCUUUUAUACAUUGAUAUUUGACUUAAUAUUUACAGGGACUGAAUGUUAAUGAUUACUGUGUACGUUUAAAUGAUUAGUAAAAAUAGUCCUAAAAUACUCCUGUUUGUGCAAAAGGAAAUCAGUAAAAAGCUGAAAAACAAUACUUGCUGCCCAUGCUAUACUACAUGCCCUCACAUUUGUAUUUUGAAUCCUGAGCACAGCGUCUGCCUUUCAAACCUUAGUCACAGAUUCAUAAUUGGUGAGGUCAGAAGAGAUGUCAUGAUCUAACUAACAGCACAGCCACAGACUUUCAUCCGGUGAUUCCUGCCUCCAGUCCAUAACUUUUGGUUGAGCUAAAUUGUCUCUCUCACAUAAAUCAACGGUCUUGAUAAGAAGACAGGAGGUAGCAGGGAGUCUGCCACAUCCCUCAAUAAGUCAAGUGACUUCCCUGUUAAAAAAAUCAGUGCCUUAUUUUUGGUCUGGAUUGGUCUAGAUUUUGACAAAUCUUGUUACGCCUUUGUCUGCAAAUCUAAGAGUCUUUCGCUGUCAGAAAUCUUCCAUCUGCUGCAGUAGUUAAAUUGGGAUUAAGUUACCUUUGAAACUUCUUUUGGACGAACCAAAUGGAUAGUGCUGUUUUAGUCUCCCAUGGUUUAACCAAAGUGCACGUGUGCCAGGAUCCAUUAAGUCAGUACAUAAUCUCCUGUAUCAACCUUUGUAUUUCCACGUUGGUUGACGAGGUAGUUAAAGAUGCAAGCAAGAACUUCCACAUAAAUGCUUAGAUAAGAAUCGAAAUUUACAUACUGUAAAAUCACUUGGUCUUUUUUGUCACAUAAUUUUAAUAAAAACUUGGUUUUGGAUGCACUAGCACCACGUGUAGGUUUUCUGCUCUGGAAUUCAGCCAACAAACUUCCUUUCUAGAAGGCUUUUUUUCACUGCAGCUGGAAAUGAGAGCAGCAUGUCCCUUGCCUGUGGUAGGUACAGCAUUGAUCUGUCACUUGCAAGGAGUCAGUUAUCAAAAGACAUUGCUAAGAAUGCUGCGCUACUUGCUUAUUAAUCAUUGAGAAAAAGAAUUGCCAUUUGUUCUCCUUUGGUGCUGAGGAUAAGCUCUUCCAGCUUUGUCCCCACUGCAGCCAAGGCAUGCUACCUCUGUACUUGCUUCCUGCUAAAAUAGGCCAUUGCUAGAUUUCUCACCAAGCCUCACCUAUACACAGUGUAGCAUUCCCAUUUGGUCACUAAAACACUGUGUAUAUUGGGGUGGGAGGUCAUUUCCCAAGUGUUUUAUCAACCUGAGAGUUAGCAGUUUUCUUAAGGGCUAAAAAGAAGUCUUGAUCCAAGCCAGAACAACAUAAGGUCUGAGAGGCUCAUUAGUUCACUGGCACUCUAAUAGAUCGCUGUGUCCUAGGUGGAAAUGAAACCCUCUACCUCCUUAUGCCUUUGUUCUGGUCUGACAAAAGAAAACGGUACCUGUUCUUGCUUAGCACACGCGAUCUGAAAGUCCUCUGGUGAGAGAGAGUGAAAUCUACUGGAGUAGUUUUUAAUUACUAUUAGCAUUUUGGAGCCUUGAGUCAAUGGCAAGAUUGAAAUGAUUUUAGUCUGUCACAUUCAACUUGCAUGCUGCUGGUGUCAAAAAUGUUCUUUCAGCAUUAUGGUGGUUAUGGGCUGAACUACCAAUUUCCAAUGAAAUAUGUGUUGUGUCAUACGUUAUACAUGUCGUUAUAACGUAGUCACAUUUAGGUGCAUUUAGUCCCAAGCUCACACCACUACAUUCCUCUGUUCCCCUUACCUGGAAAAAAUGGUUCCUUUGGAUAAAGUUAUAUGAACGAUCA